rnacentral:misc_RNA from 1 species
UUGUGGAGGAGGACGCCGAAGGUGGGGCUAAUGACUGGGGUGAAGUCGUAACAAGGUAGCCGUACCGGAAGGUGCGGCUGGAUCACCUCCUAACAGGGAGACAACAAAAUGUUUACUAUUAUUAUUUUGUCACCUUAGGUCGAUCGGUAUCUCACGUUUUUAAUUUAUUAAGAAUUUCAUUUCCUAAGUUUUUCUAGGUCACACCCAUUAUUUUUCCUGGGCCAUUAGCUCAGGUGGUUAGAGCGCACCCCUGAUAAGGGUGAGGUCCCUGGUUCAAGUCCAGGAUGGCCCAUAUCUCUAUGUUGGGGGUAUAGCUCAGUUGGUAGAGCGCCUGCUUUGCAAGCAGGAUGUCAGCGGUUCGAGUCCGCUUACCUCCACUGAUUACCACCUCUUCCAUAACCGGUAUCAAGGAAAUGUUUUGAGUUGUGAUCAAAUUCUGAACGAAUCUAGCUUCCUAAUGAAAUCAUUAAGAUGCUGGACUCAUUGAAUUAAUUUCAUUGUUUUCAGAGAACCUUGACAACUGCAUAGAUUAUUUUUAAAGACAAUAAGCAUCUUUAAUGAUGCAGAUUUAUUAUUUGUGCGAAUGCAUUAAUAACAAUUCUAUUAAGCUGAUGCUUCAAUUUUGAAGUUAUUGGUCAAGCUACAA